rnacentral:rRNA from 1 species
AAGUCGAGCGGAUGAAGGGAGCUUGCUCCUGGAUUCAGCGGCGGACGGGUGAGUAAUGCCUAGGAAUCUGCCUGGUAGUGGGGGAUAACGUCCGGAAACGGGCGCUAAUACCGCAUACGUCCUGAGGGAGAAAGUGGGGGAUCUUCGGACCUCACGCUAUCAGAUGAGCCUAGGUCGGAUUAGCUAGUUGGUGGGGUAAAGGCCUACCAAGGCGACGAUCCGUAACUGGUCUGAGAGGAUGAUCAGUCACACUGGAACUGAGACACGGUCCAGACUCCUACGGGAGGCAGCAGUGGGGAAUAUUGGACAAUGGGCGAAAGCCUGAUCCAGCCAUGCCGCGUGUGUGAAGAAGGUCUUCGGAUUGUAAAGCACUUUAAGUUGGGAGGAAGGGCAGUAAGUUAAUACCUUGCUGUUUUGACGUUACCAACAGAAUAAGCACCGGCUAACUUCGUGCCAGCAGCCGCGGUAAUACGAAGGGUGCAAGCGUUAAUCGGAAUUACUGGGCGUAAAGCGCGCGUAGGUGGUUCAGCAAGUUGGAUGUGAAAUCCCCGGGCUCAACCUGGGAACUGCAUCCAAAACUACUGAGCUAGAGUACGGUAGAGGGUGGUGGAAUUUCCUGUGUAGCGGUGAAAUGCGUAGAUAUAGGAAGGAACACCAGUGGCGAAGGCGACCACCUGGACUGAUACUGACACUGAGGUGGGAAAGCGUGGGGAGCAAACAGGAUUAGAUACCCUGGUAGUCCACGCCGUAAACGAUGUCGACUAGCCGUUGGGAUCCUUGAGAUCUUAGUGGCGCAGCUAACGCGAUAAGUCGACCGCCUGGG